rnacentral:rRNA from 1 species
UACGUAGGUGGCAAGCGUUGUCCGGAUUUACUGGGCGUAAAGGGCGUGCAGGCGGUUUGUUAAGUGCAGGGUGAAAGCUCCCGGCUCAACUGGGAGAGGUCCUUGCAUACUGGAGAACUCGAGGGAGGCAGAGGAAAGUGGAAUUCCCGGUGUAGUGGUGAUAUGCGUAGAUAUCGGGAGGAACACCUGUGGCGAAGGCGGCUUUCUGGGCCUUACCUGACGCUGAGACGCGAAAGCGUGGGGAGCGAACCGG